ensembl:lncRNA
UUAUGGAACGUGCUUUCGGGGGUCUAAUGCCCGACGGCAUCAGCGCAGGGGCGAGCAGAGGGGCUGGGGGCGCGCGCCAGGGCGCUGCCGGAUUAGAGAAGACGUCAGAGGGGCGCGGGGCGCCCGGGUCUUUUAGCGCUUCCCCACCCCUCAUCCCCCGCUUCCGAGGAAAGCAGUGAGGACUGUCCCGGGAGGCGGACUUUAGGUCUUUUAGGCGUAUGUGAAAGGGAAAGAUGCCCUCGAAUGUCCUGACUUCUGGGUGGGAAAAAGGGACUCAGUACCAAGCCACUGAACUUCAUACAUCUGUCUAGUAAGGGGAAUUGCGAGCUCUGUGUUCAGAGGAAGCGCUGCUCCGAAACGCAUCACUCACCCCCAAAUCAGAGUCGCCGGGCCUGGAGAGAAUGACCUCAACCCCCGCGAGCCGCCAUUCUCAGAGCUGCUUUUUUGGGCAUACAGGGAGGCACCUGGGGAGAGAAGCCAGCGCCUGGGCAGGAAAUACAUCCCCCUUCCCACCAUCCCUAGUGGGCGGACAAACCCUCCCCGAGCGGGUGAAGAGACAAGGGAAGGAGAGGAAAGUUCCAGGAUGCAAGGGGGAGGGCGAGGAGAAGGAAGGGAACCUGGCAAGCAAGGAAAAAGAAAAGCAAACAGGAAGAGAGAGAGAAGACGGUAGUGAAAAGAGAGAAGAUGGGAAGGGGGGGGGGUGGGUGGCAGCUGGUGGGCAUUACCGCUUUCCGGCAGAAGGGGGCACCUUUCUGGCCGAGACAGUCUUCCACUGGGCUGGGGAGGAUGCCUAGGCAGAGACGCCCUCCGGCCCGGCACCAGGGUGCUGGGCGCCCCCUCCUGGCGGCUGCGCGGCCGCUCUGUGCUGUCCCGCGGGUGUUCCUGACCAGCGACUGCUCUGCCCGCGGCGACGGGGAGGUGGUGGUGGUGCGGGGAGGAAGGGCAGGGGUGGAGUAGGGGUUCGAGGGUGGUGCCGGAACGGCCAAGCUCCCCGCUUCCCACCCUGCUCCCCCGCGGCUUCCUCACCUGGGGCCUGCAGGGCUCCUUCCCUGAGAUCACGCCUCCUGCUUGCCCCUGGGCGGCCCAGCUUCCGCCCUAAUCCGAGCCUGCGGAGGAGCCCGCUCUCCUCGCAGAGCGGCCGGGUCUCCGCUGCAGCAGCUGGCAGGGAGGGAGCGACCGCCGGCUGCUGCCGGGCGGUGUCUGGGGGCCGCGAGCCGAGCGCGAGGAGCCGCCAUCUGGAGCCUCGGCGGCGGGCGGGGGUGCGAGAGCAAGGGAAGGGGCUGGCAGCUCGGCCCGUAGCGGGAGAAGGGCAGGGAUCUGCGCGUGGAGCGGCCGAGUGCUGGGUGUGUGUGGUAGGGGAGUGUGCGUGAGGGGGGAUGGCCCCUGGGGAGGAGGAACAGCGGCUUGCCCCUCUCAAGUCCCUGAAUUCCCGGACAGUCCCACUGGCUGGUCUAGCAAAGGAGCGGGGGACCAGCUGCAGGGGUGGGGUAGAGAACUGGGAGUGGGGAACCAAAACACUCCUACACGCGGACACAGCCGCUGUCCUCCAGAAGUGGUUUUCUCAUUUCCCUUUCCUCCCACGUUGUCCAUCCCACUCCAGGAAACGUUCCUUUCCAAACGGCAUGGACUUUUGGACACUUCCACACUAAGACAACUACUUCAGCCAGAACGUGGGACAGGCGCUCACAGGAUGUCACCCUUGAGGAUAAAUACUCGCUAGUUUCCGGUGAACGGUGGAAAAGGAAGCGGCUGGGUCCACAAGCUGCUGGAGCAUGGUGAUGAAUCUGCGUGGGUCAGCUUCUGAGGGCACAGAGCCAGCACAGAAGGAUGGAGAAUGAAUCUCGGGGAGACAAAUGGAGAAUAAUCAGCAUGCAACUAUUAUUAUUUACAAAUAAGAUUAUCUGAGAACCCUGCCUGCAAACAUCUUUUUGAUGCACAAUUCCAGCUGGAAGUAAAAACUUAACAAGCUUUGUAAACCUGAGCAUCCAAGAUUUUAAGAGUCAUCUCUCAAAGUGCUUUGGCUGAAAAACUCCUGCUAGCACUCAGGAAAGAUUUCCAGAGGUCUUGGCAGAUUUUGCAAGCCAAGACCUGGAAGAAUUUGAGAGUAUACCUUCUUGACUUCCUUUGGUCAUCCCCUGAUCUCUCAUCAUUUUGUGGCUUCCUGUGUCAGAAUCAGUCUUGCUAGGCCUGGUUAGUCACUUGCUGACUGUUGGUGUCAAGGAAGCCAGCCAUGCUUCAGCAAAAGGUGACUAGCUCAUAACAAAUCAACCCUAUAGCAACAGGAAGUCUUCCUAAUGCCUUCCCUUGAGUUCAGAGUCUGUGUGGACUUCAGAUUGAGGGAACUUUUCCUCUUUCCAACUUUCCCUAUCCUUUCCUCCUGAACCUGAACUAACCCAUAGACAAAAUGAUGAGAGAGGAUAGUGAUGGAGAAGCAUGUUCUCUUCCCUAAUUUGAGAUAAAAAUUAUAACUGGUAUCAGAGUCUUGAAUGUUCAUUCUGGAUAACAGCACAAACAAAAGCCUCAUUUCAGAAUCUCCUAGAAACUGAGUUUGAAAAUUUGAG